GGGGUUGUGGCUCAGUGGUAGAGUGCUUGCCUAGCAUGUGAGGCCCUGGGUUCAAUCCUCAGCACCACA
rnacentral:tRNA from 1 species